UCAGUGACUCGUAUUAGCGUC
rnacentral:piRNA from 1 species